rnacentral:lncRNA from 1 species
GCGGAAGUGCGCUGACCCAGAGGUGACUGGUUUCCGGUCUGUGGUACUGCACCGGCUUCCAGUAGACGUGUAACGGACGNNGCCCCCCAGCCAUGACCGAGAGGAAACUUAAUGGUGGCAGUGGCGGCGCUUCCACCUCUUUAUCGUGUACUAACUUACUCUUCUCCUCCUCGGCCACGGGGUUCAGCUUCAACGUGCCCUUCAUCCCAGUCACGCAAGCCGCCCCUGCCUCGGCCUCUCUUCUCUUGCCCGGAGAGGAUUCCACAGAUGUUGGUGAGGAGGACAGCUUCCUUGGUCAGACUUCUGUUCCCACAUCCACCCCACAGACAUUUAGUUACUUCUCUCAGGUAUCGAGCAAUAGUGAUCCUUUUGGGAAUAUUGGACAGUCACCCUUAACAACUGCAGCAACAUUGGUUGGACAAUCAGCAUUCUCCAACCCGCCAACUGCUCUCCCUUUUACAACUGAAUCCCACGAUGGGUUGACUACAUUUCCACCAUCUGUUUCAAAAGCUCAGUAUGGUACUCCACCUUCCUCACAGAUGGGAAUAAAUCCUUAUUUGCCUUCUCAGCCAAGUGGUUUCCCUCCUUCAAAUUUUGGGAGCCCACUGCAAGGAACCUCUCAACAAGGAUAUAAUCCAUAUCGCCAUACCCCUGUCAGCAGCAGGGCUAAUCCCUACAUCACACCUCCACAGCUGCAACAGUGCCAACCACCAGGCCAUCUCACUCACCCUCCAACCUCUGGACCUCCAGUACAGAUGUACCAGACGCCUCCAGCAUCUUUGCUGCCGAUUCCUCCUUCAGUACAGCCACCAACACAACAGCAAGCACUUGCUAAACCUGCAGGUCCCUCUGUGCAGGGGCCACCUCCUUUUGUACUUCAAAAUCAGUAUGAACCUGUCCAGCCCCACUGGUUUUACUGCAAGGAGGUAGAAUACAAACAAGUAUGGAUGCCUUUCAGUGCACUGGACUCUUUGAAUCUUGAAGAAGUCUAUAAUUCCGUCCAGCCAGACCCAGAGAGUGUGGUUCUCAGCACAGAUGGAGGGCGAUAUGAUGUCUACCUCUAUGACCGAGUGAGGAAAGCAGUGUACUGGGAAGAGGAGCCAGCUGAAGUGAGGCGCUGUACUUGGUUUUACAAGGAAAUUCUGUGGAAAAGGUCUACACAGAGGACUUCAGUGAAAAACUAGAGGUUGAAUAUAAAAAAGCUGUAACCACAAAUCAGUGGCACCGAAGAUUAGAGUUUCCAAGUGGAGAGACUAUUGUUAUGCACAAUCCAAAGGUAAUGGUACAUUUGAAGAUUUUAAAGUGUUAAGUACAUUUUAAGAGUUACUUUGCUGUGUUUGAUAAACAUUCAUUUUUAAUAAUUUCUACAGUUGGGAUAUAUAAUAAGAGCAUUGCUUUUAAAAUAGUUUACCGUAAUUAUCGAUCAUGGAAACAACACAUCAGUCUGCUUUCUUGUCACCAGAAUACAGUGCCUGACACCCACAAUUUAAGGGAAGAG